rnacentral:lncRNA from 1 species
CCCGCUCUCCUUUCAGAACAUGAAGAAGAAAGAAGGAGCUUCAGGGAGCAGCAGGCCCCGUCCUGCAGGGCCUGGGGGCCUGAGCUUGCUGCCACCACCCCCCGGAGGAAAAUCAGGCUCCAGAGAGCGCCCGGCUCUGCUGUCCACGUCCACCCAGCUCCCGGGAACGCCCAUCACGGACUCGCCAUUGUUCUGGCCGCAGUCCUCCGCUGCUCCCACCGCCGAUGUCUGGGGAGACUUUGCCAAAGCUUCAGGGUCGGCUCCUAACCAGACUCAGGGCAAUACUGGCUGGGUUCAGUUCUGAGCCCAGCCCCUGUGGCUGCUCGAUCCUUGCAAUUCCUUUGGGGCCAAAGAAGCAGCUUCAGGACACCUCACUCCUGCCUUCAAACCCUGCCCAGCACCGAAAUGCUGGAAUAAGAGCUGGGAGGAAACAGCCACGUGCCUUAGAACACUCCACAGCCUGUGCCUGCCACACCCUGGGGCUGUUCCUGGGUCAUGAGAGACCUCGGGGGCCUCUCUUUGGGGAAGAACCAUCAGGUCCAAAACCUCUCCCUGAUGAGGAGAGGCUGAGCAGGAGCUUGGGGUCUCUUCAGAAGUUUCUCUGCCUUCUCCUUCUCCUGGAUCGACACAGCAUUCUCCUGGAGACAUCCCACCUCCCAAAUCCACACCAGCCUUUCCCUGCCAGGAUGCCAAGCAUCGCCUGGAUUUUCUUCUGAGCACUUAACCAGGGUGUGGGGAGCCUGAUCCCAGCAUUUCCAUGCUGAAAUUCCUCAUUUCUUACUCUGGGAAGUUUGUUUUACUGCUCCUCUAUUUUGAAGACACGAUUUUUUACUCCUCUCCAUGGAUAUUUUAUUAAGGACAGAAUGGAGUCGGGCUCCUGGACAGAGCAGGGGUUGUGAUUCCACUUGAAACAAAUAAAUAUUUUCUUACCUAUUUAUACUGAGGCUUUUCUGAGUAUGAAACUCCACUUUUAUUUUUGUCCAAGCCCUUGGAUUCUCCCAUCUCCAACUGAAUGACGGGCAUUUUGCUUUCAGAGCUUUUCUGUGGGCCUGGCAGCAAAUCCAG